AACGAACGCUGGCGGCAUGCCUAACACAUGCAAGUCGAACGAACCCUUCGGGGUUAGUGGCGCACGGGUGCGUAACGCGUGGGGAUCUGCCCAAAGGCUCGGAAUAACUCAGAGAAAUUUGAGCUAAUACCGGAUAAUGUCUCCGGACCAAAGAUUUAUUGCCUUUGGAUGAACCCGCGUAGGAUUAGCUUGUUGGUGGGGUAAAGGCCUACCAAGGCGACGAUCCUUAGCUGGUCUGAGAGGAUGAUCAGCCACACUGGGACUGAGACACGGCCCAGACUCCUACGGGAGGCAGCAGUGGGGAAUAUUGGACAAUGGGCGAAAGCCUGAUCCAGCAAUGCCGCGUGAGUGAUGAAGGCCUUAGGGUUGUAAAGCUCUUUACCUAGGAUGAUAAUGACAGUACCUGGAGAAUAAGCUCCGGCUAACUCCGUGCCAGCAGCCGCGGU
rnacentral:rRNA from 1 species